rnacentral:lncRNA from 1 species
GGACAGUUGAAGCUGGAGGUUGUGGUUCUAAGCUGCUUGUUAUAUAUACAUACAUACAUAUAUGUAUAUAUAUAUAUAUAUAUAGAGAGAGAGAGAGAGAGAGAGAGAGAGAGAGAGAGAUAGUUUCACUAUAAUAUUUCAUAAAGGAGGAGGAUACAACAAAAGGCACAGGAGUCCCUACUCACAAGGAGCUGACAGUCUAAUGGGAGACAACAUGCAAAUAACUAUGUACAUAGAAUAUAAAUGGGGAGGUCAUCUUAGAGGAUACUGAAAACAAGUGAGACAGCCUCAUUGUGCCUCAGUAUUCCAGUUGAAAAAUGUAAUCACUGAAAUGUGUUUAUUUAUAUGGAAUUUUGUAAACCACUGAGCUCUUCAAAUGAGAUGUCCAACAACCAGGAGGAAGCCUCUGCAAAUGCAGUGUCAAGCUGCUGAAUUAGAAAGAGGAUAAGAAAGGGGAAGGUCACUUCAGGGAUGUGGCAGCUCUGGAACUGCAUAUCCCUCUGACUGCCAAACUUCCAGACCACUCACCUGGCCCACCCUUGUCAGUAUGUAAGCUUAAGGGAGCAUCUAUCUGGCAGUGCCGUGACAUAAAUGCAGAAAUGCAACACGGAAAAUAUCAUCUCUU